rnacentral:tRNA from 1 species
CCUGCGUUAGCUCAGUGGAAGAGCAGCUCGAUCUGAGACCGGAGAGUCUACGCACCGGAGGCCGGAAAGACAGUGGGCGUCAAGAGGGUGGGUGGCCGGGGGUUCGAUUCCCUCACGCGGCG